AACUUUUCACUCUUUCCCCCACUCGAAAAAAGAUACCUAGAUUUGAAAACCCUUCUCCCCUGUCGCCGCUUCCAUCUAUCGUUGUCAUGGCUUCCGCCCCAACUUUCUCUCUCAGAUGUAAAUCGAUAACGUCUGCUUUAGAUUCUUGCCUCAACAUGAAUAAAGCUGUCUAUCUUGAUUAUAACGAGUUUAGUUUGUGAGGACUGGAAACUGCAUAUUGAAAUUGGAUUAACCCUCUCCACCAAAGGUAGUUUUCAAGCGAUGCGAAAAGAUUGACGAAGCGCAAGUAGUCGCGCACAACUCAUCGGCGACGUGCACUUCCAGUUUCUGCGAGGUCUGUGUGUUUGAUUAACUUAUUCUGGUGUUAAUGGUUUGUUACAGUUUCUAUUUCUGAUUCAUAAUUUCACUUCAUUUAUCUAUUUCUGUUUAUAUGACCACAUUAUGUGAAUUGUAUAUCGUUUCUCCUAAUGUAAAUCUAUACAGAUCGACUCCAAUAAUAGACAUAUCUAUCUCAGAAAUGAACAUUAACAUCAAGGUCA